UUCGGGGCAGCGGUGACAGGUGGUGCAUGGUUGUCGUCAGCUCGUGUCGUGAGAUGUGGGUUAAGUCCCGCAACGAGCGCAACCCUUGGAUUGUGUUGCCAUCAUUUAGUUGGGCACUUACAAUCGACUGCCGGUGACAAACCGGAGGAAGGCGGGGAUGACGUCAAAUCAUCAUGCCCCUUAUGUCCUGGGCUACACACGUGCUACAAUGGGCGGUACAAAGGGUUGCGAAGCCGCGAGGUGGAGCCAAUCCCAGAAAGCCGUUCGUAGUUCGGAUUGCAGGCUGCAACUCGCCUGCAUGAAGCCGGAAUUGCUAGUAAUCGCGGAUCAGCAUGCCGCGGUGAAUUCGUUCCCGGGCAUUGUACACACCGCCCGUCACACCAUGGGAGUUGGCAACACCCGACAUCGGUGAGGUAACUCG
rnacentral:rRNA from 1 species